rnacentral:rRNA from 1 species
GACGAACGCUGGCGGCGUGCUUAACACAUGCAAGUCGAACGCUGAAGCCCUUUCGGGGGUGGAUGAGUGGCGAACGGGUGAGUAACACGUGGGUAAUCUGCCCCGCACUCUGGGAUAAGCCUUGGAAACGGGGUCUAAUACCGGCUAGGACACAUCGCCGCAUGGUGUGUGUGUGGAAAGUUCCGGCGGUGCAGGUUGAGCCCGCGGCCUAUCAGCUUGUUGGUGGGGUGAUGGCCUACCAAGGCGACGACGGGUAGCCGGCCUGAGAGGGUGACCGGCCACACUGGGACUGAGACACGGUCCAGACUCCUACGGGAGGCAGCAGUGAGGAAUUUUCCGCAAUGGGCGAAAGCCUGACGGAGCAAUACCGCGUGGAGGAUGACGGCCCUCGGGUUGUAAACUCCUUUUAAAUGGGAAGAUUAUGACGGUACCAUUUGAAUAAGCAUCGGCUAACUACGUGCCAGCAGCCGCCGUAA